UACGUAGGUGGCAAGCGUUAUCCGGAAUUAUUGGGCGUAAAGCGCGCGCAGGUGGUUUCUUAAGUCAGGUGUGAAAGCCCCCGGCUCAACCGGGGAACAGCAUUUGAUACUGGCAGACUCGAGGAUGGUAGGGGUGAGUGGAAUUCCCGGUGUAGUGGUGAAAUGCGUAGAGAUCGGGAGGAACACCUGUGGCGAAGGCGACUCGCUGGACAGACAUUGACGCUGAGGUGCGAAAGCGUGGGGAGCAAACAGG
rnacentral:rRNA from 1 species